CUUCUACCCGCGAAACCUGUGCUCAGGCAAGGAGGGCGGCGGCGUGCGCGUGCGGGUGGUCUUGCAGCUCCGCCUCCCGGGCACCUCGGGGACCUUUCGUUAGUCUCUCUGCUGGCCCUCCGCUUAUUCAUUUUAUUCUCUCUUGGAUGGUAAGAAUGAAUUAAAUGUGUAGCAGAAAGAUCUUGGGCUGUGAUAUGAGACGCGAGUUCAAAUCCAGCCCUCACUUACUGUCAGUAUGGUAUCGGUCCAGGUAUUUCAACUUUUCUUACCUGUAAAAUGGAGUCUGCCCAUUAGAGGUUGCACUGCAAUUACCCUUGAAGGGAAAAUGGACUAUCCAGAGCAACAGAGCCAAUCCGUCAACUCUUUGACUCUGCAGUACACUGGCCCUCCUGGGUUUGGUUCUGCCUUCCUUCUUCCAGGGCCACCCGUGGCCUCUCCCCGAGACGAAUCCCAUCCUCCUGCUUCUCUGAACACCCUCCGUGGGACAACACUUUUGUUCUUAGGACUUAAGUUGUCAACUCUGUGCUGAUAAUGACCGAAUUUUCCAUCAGCCUUGAAUUCUCACACAAACCCCACUCCCAAAUUCUAAGUAACUACUCUUAUUUUCUCCCAACUCAGCGCUUAGACAGAAGUCGCCUUCAUCUCCCCUUCCUCCACUCAAUAGGUUACUACUGUUGAUUCCCCUAUUUGUAUCAAUAGCCGAAUUCUCCCUAUCCCUGAUCACAAAACCUGGGAAACAGAGGAAGCACAGAGAGGUCUCCUUUCUCCCUCAUAUCCACUAAUUCCUGAGAGUGGUCUCUGUUAUCCAUUGCUGCAUAACAGAUGACCACAAAUUUAGCAGCUUAAAACACAAACGUUUAUCAUCUCAUGGUUUCCGUGGGUCAACCUCACUGGGUCCUCUGCUCAGGGUCUCACAAGGCUACAAUCGUGUCAGGCAGGCUGUAUUCUCAUCUGGAGGCUUGACUGAGGAGGAAUCUAUGUUCAGGCUCAUUCAGGUUGUUAGCAAGAAUUCAUUUCUGGCUGAGUGCGGUGGCUCAUGCCUGUAAUCCCAGCAGUUUGGGAGGCUUAGGCUGGCGGAUCACUUGAGACCAGGAGUUCGUGACCAGCCUGGGCAACAUGGCAAAAACAUGUCUCUUCAAAAGUACAAAAAAUUAGCUGGGCGUGGUGGCAUGCACUUCUAGUCUCAGCUAGUUGGGAAGCCGAGAGGGGAGGAUUGCUUGAGCCUGGGAGGCAGAGGUUGCAGUGAGCCAAGAUCAUGCCACUACAGCCUUGAUGAGAGAGUGAGACCCUGUCUCAGGAAAAAAAAAAAUAAUUCAUUUCCUUGUGGCUUUAUGAGUAAGGACCCAGAUUUUUUUCUGGCUAUCAUCUGGAAGCCACUCUCAAGUCCUAGAGGCUGCCCACAGUUCUUUGCCAAAGGGUUCACUAACAUGUCUGUUCACUUACGCCAGUAAAAGCCAGGCACAGUGGCUCAUGCCUGUAAUUUCAGCUCAGUGAAGUAGAGGUGGGAGGAUCACUUGAGACCAGAAGUUUGAGACCAGCCAAGGGCUUUCAUUUAAUUAAGUUAGGCCCACCCAGGACCUGACCCCAAAAUCAGCUGAUUCACGACCUCAAUUACAUCUGCCAAACCUCUUAUUUUUGCCAUGUUUAUUACCUAAGCAAUCCACACUAGGGGUCAGGAGUGGGUUGUGGGGACAGCAGAAGCAGGAGUUGUGGGGCUACCUAGGGUCUGUCACGUGGUCCUUUAAUAAUCUCAUAUAAUCCUUUCUUGUGAAUUCCUAUGGCAUCUAUAUGGAAGCUAUUAGUAUAAUAAUAUAUUCUGUGCA
rnacentral:lncRNA from 1 species